rnacentral:rRNA from 1 species
GAGAUCGGGAUAACACCUGGAAACAGAUGCUAAUACCGGAUAACAACAGAUGAUGCCUAUCAACUGUUUAAAAGAUGGUUCUGCUAUCACUCUUGGAUGGACCUGCGGUGCAUUAGCUAGUUGGUAGGGUAACGGCCUACCAAGGCGAUGAUGCAUAGCCGAGUUGAGAGACUGAUCGGCCACAUUGGGACUGAGACACGGCCCAAACUCCUACGGGAGGCAGCAGGG